rnacentral:rRNA from 1 species
CUUGGUCAUUUAGAGGAAGUAAAAGUCGUAACAAGGUAACCGUAGGUGAACCUGCGGUUGGAUCAUUAAUAAAUCUAGAAGGUCUUAAAGACCUCUCUAACAUCUUGUGAAUCGUUUAUGUCUCUGGCAGGCUCAGUCUGCCGAGUAUACUUUGUAUUAUAUUUAGUCUAAAAAUUUAUAAAAGUAAUUAAAACAACUUUUGACAACGGAUCUCUAGGCUCUCGCAACGAUGAAGAACGCAGCGAAAUGCGAUAAGUAAUGUGAAUUGCAGAAUUCCGUGAAUCAUUAAAUCUUUGAACGCACAUUGCGCCUUUUGGUAUUCCUCAAGGCAUGCCUGUUCGAGAAUCAGUUUAACCAUCAAACCUAUUAUGGAAACAUAAUAUGCUUGGACUUGGGACUUCUUUAUAUCAGAGAGACCCUAAUUACAUUUGAUGCCCAUCACUCGCGUGAUAUAUAUGAAAGGCAUGACCAUUGACCGCAAGUUCUUAUGAUUGCAACUAGUAUAUUGGAGCUUGUGAACCGGUACAAAAAUUUCACGAAAAGUUUUAAACUUUUUAAGACUUGAUCUCGAAUCAGACAAGACUACCCGCUGAACUUAAGCAUAUCAAUAAGCGGAGGA